rnacentral:rRNA from 1 species
AGUGAACGCUGGCGGUAGGCCUAACACAUGCAAGUCGAACGGCAGCACAGUAUUAGCUUGCUUUUACGGUUGGCGAGUGGCGGACGGGUGAUGAAUACAUUGGAAUCUACUUUUUCGUGGGGGAUAACGUAGGGAAACUUACGCUAAUACCUCAUACCACCUACGUGUGAAAGCAGGGGAUCUUCGGACCUUGCGCGAUUGAAUGAGCCCCUGUCGGGUUAGCUAGUUGGUGGGGUCAAGGCCCACCAAGGCGACGAUCCGUAGCUGGUCUGAGAGGAUGAUAAGCGACACUGGAAAUGAGCCACGGUCAAGACUACUAAGAGAGGCCGCAGUGGGGAACAUUGGGCAAUGGGCGCAAGCCUGAUACAGCCAGAGAGAGUGGGUGAAGAAGACGUUCGGGUUGUAAAGAACUUUUGUGGGGAGAGAAAAGCAGCAAGUAAAUGCGACGCUGAAGUGACGGUACCUAAAGAAUAAGCACCGGCUAACUUCGUG